UACAGAGGGGGCAAGCGUUGUUCGGAAUUACUGGGCGUAAAGGGCGCGUAGGCGGCCUUCUAAGUCGAACGUGAAAUCCCCGGGCUCAACCCGGGAACUGCGUCCGAGACUGAAAGGCUCGAAUCCGGGAGAGGGAUGUGGAAUUCCAGGUGUAGCGGUGAAAUGCGUAGAUAUCAAGGAGGAACACCGGUGGCGAAGGCGGGUCUCUGGGCCGAUGACUGACGCUGAGACGCGAAAGCGUGGGGAGCAAACAGG
rnacentral:rRNA from 1 species